GUGAGGAAUAUUGGUCAAUGGGCGAGAGCCUGAACCAGCCAAGUCGCGUGAAGGAAGAAGGAUCUAUGGUUCGUAAACUUCUUUUGCAGGGGAAUAAAGUGCAGGACGUGUCCUGUUUUGUAUGUACCCUGAGAAUAAGGAUCGGCUAACUCCGUGCCAGCAGCCGCGGUAAUACGGAGGAUCCGAGCGUUAUCCGGAUUUAUUGGGUUUAAAGGGUGCGUAGGUGGUUUGAUAAGUCAGCGGUGAAAGUUUGCAGCUUAACUGUAAAAAUGCCGUUGAAACUGUCGGACUUGAGGGUAAAUGAAGUAGGCGGAAUGCGUGGUGUAGCGGUGAAAUGCAUAGAUAUCACGCAGAACUCCGAUUGCGAAGGCAGCUUACUAAGCUACAACUGACACUGAAGCACGAAAGCGUGGGGAUCAAACAGGAUUAGAUACCCCAGUAGUCC
rnacentral:rRNA from 1 species